AGAGUUUGAUCCUGGCUCAGAACGAACGCUGGCGGCAGGCUUAACACAUGCAAGUCGAACGCGCUUUUCGGAGCGAGUGGCGCACGGGUGAGUAACGCGUGGGAACCUGUCCUUGAGUGGGGAAUAACCUUGGGAAACUGAGGCUAAUACCGCAUACUCCCUUUGGUUGUAGUGGCCGAAGGGGAAAGAUUUAUCGCUCAAGGAGGGGCUCGCGUCAGAUUAGGUUGUUGGUGGGGUAAAGGCCUACCAAGCCUGCGAUCUGUAGCCGGUCUGAGAGGAUGGUCGGCCACACUGGAACUGAGACACGGUCCAGACUCCUACGGGAGGCAGCAGUGGGGAAUCUUGGACAAUGGGCGCAAGCCUGAUCCAGCCAUGCCGCGUGAGUGAAGAAGGCCUUCGGGUUGUAAAGCUCUUUCAGCGGAGACGAUGAUGACGGUAUCCGCAGAAGAAGCCCCGGCUAACUUCGUGCCAGCAGCCGCGGUAAUACGAAGGGUGCGAGCGUUAAUCGGAAUUACUGGGCGUAAAGCGUGCGUAGGCGGCCGUGCAAGUCAGAUGUGAAAGCCCCGGGCUUAACCUGGGAAUUGCGUUUGAAACUGCGGGGCUGGAGUUUGUCAGGGGAAGAUAGAAUUUCGUGUGUAGCGGUGAAAUGCGUAGAUAUACGAAAGAAUACUUAUAGCGAAGGCGUUCUUCUGGGGCAAUACUGACGCUGAGUCACCAAAGCGUGGGGAGCAAACAGGAUUAGAUACCCUGGUAGUCCACGCCGUAAACGAUGUGUGCCAGCCUUGGGGAGAUGUAAUCUUUCUGGGGCGCAGCUAACGCGUUAAGCACACCGCCUGGGGAGUACGG
rnacentral:rRNA from 1 species